GCUUCCUCGUGUUUCCUCCGUAUUUAUUUAUUUAUUUUUUUCACUUUUUCUCCUCAUUGCACGGUUUCUCCUCCAUCUCUCCCAAUUACUUUUUUUUUUCUUUUCUUUUUUUAAAUAACCUGGCAUGUCUGUCCCAUCUUGUCUUCAACCUUUCUUCUGCUGACCUAAACUCACGACAGAAAAUCGGCGGUUUCCAUUAGGUGUUCUGCUUGAAUUUGUUUGUCUAAUGGCUUUCAUAAUCCUCUCAGAGGCCAUCGACAGCCAGCUUUACCUGGGAGUAUAAACACAGAAACCCUUAUAACCAUUUUCAGGUGAAAUGAUUGAUCACCUCCUGCGCGUCUUCCUGCAGCACAGAUGUUCAGAGAUGUUAUGACACUGCUGUGUGAAUAAAUUGCAAGCUCCUUCAUCUGCUUCCUCUCUAACCUGAGCCUCUGCAGUUUCCUGGGGGGCUCAGUGACACAGCCGAGGCUCCAUUUUGUUCCUGCAGCACAGCCAUUUUAGGUCCCUGUGCUGUGAAGUUCUCACCCAGCUCUUUUUUUUUUUUUAAUUAAUUUGUUUGUUUUGCAGAUUCUUCAUGAAUUUAAAGCUAAAUAAAUCCACUUAAACCUU